rnacentral:tRNA from 1 species
GGUACUAGGCAAGAGCUCGCCGAGGCUCUUAACCCGUAGGUCCCGGGUUCAAAUCCCGGCGGGCCCGCCA